CGGUGGGUGGGUGGGUAAGAAGAGGAUUUAGGAUGAAUUUCAAAGCGGACGGCAAUGGCUUUGACCCGGGGAUUGGGAAUGCUCUCUCUCUUUUUAAUUCUUUCUUCUUCUUCUUCUUCUUCUUCUUCUUCUUCCCGAUCCCAAGCAAAGUCUUCAACCAAACUCCACCCAAUCAUUCAAGCAAUUUUUAAUAAUUCAACGCUGAUCAUCAUCGCUGACCUAAUAACCCAAUUGCCACACAUGCAUCUCCGCCCUCCUCCUCUGAUUCACUGCUUCCUCCUCUACAACUUCUUCUCCUUCGGCCGCCACUGAAACCCACAAAGUCGACAUAGAUAGAUAGAUAGAUAGAUAGAGAGAGAGAGAGAGAGAGUUUCGGCAUACAUGGGAAACUGUUGGGGAAGCCCAACCAAGUGCGCCCACGCUUCUUCCAACCAAUUCUUUGAGGCAACGAUGCUCCCUAGCAACGCCAAACACGACUCUGGCCAGCAAAAAUUUUCGGGAAGUUUAAACAAAGCUCUCAUAGCAUCCAAUAGUGAUAUAUCUAUCUCCAACAACCUAAAGUCCUUUAGUUUCAGCGAUCUCAAGAAUGCCACCAAAAACUUCCACUCAGAUAAUCUGCUUGGUGAGGGAGGGUUUGGAUGUGUCUUUAAAGGAUGGAUUGAUGACAACACUUUUUCUUCCAGCAAAACUGGAACUGGGAUUGCAGUUGCCGUUAAAAAGCUCAAGGCAGUAAGCUAUCAAGGUCACAGGGAAUGGCUUACAGAAGUAAACUACUUGAGCCAGCUUCGCCAUGAAAAUCUUGUGAAGCUCAUUGGGUAUUGCUCAGAGUCCAAUCACAGACUUUUAGUUUAUGAAUUCAUGCCGAAGGGAAGCUUGGAAAAUCAUUUAUUCACAAAAGGUGUUCAACCUAUUCCUUGGGCAACACGAAUGAAUAUUGCUGUUGAUGUUGCACGUGGACUAUCCUUUUUACAUAGUUUGGACACCAAUGUAAUCUACCGUGACUUGAAGGCUUCAAACAUUCUACUUGAUUUGGAUUUCAGUGCAAAGCUUUCAGAUUUUGGCUUGGCAAGAGCUGGUCCUACUGGAGACAACACUCAUGUUUCCACCAGAGUAGUGGGAACUUUGGGCUAUGCUGCACCAGAAUAUGUAGCAACAGGUUUUGAUCUUCUAUACUUUUCAAUGCACUUCCAUAAAUCAGACAGGUGGGGUAUCUGCUGCUCACCCAAGCCGGGCCAGCCAGCCCCCUGCUUGGCCCUUUCUUCCUGUGGGCCGGGCCAAGUUCGACCCUUUUUUGAAUUGGGUCAUGUCAGCCCAACCCAUAUUAGAAAGAAAAGAAGGAGGGCGGGGGGAACACAGCCCCUGGGCCCUUAAUACAGGCUGAGAGGGUCGGGCCACGUGCAGAGCCGGCCUUGGUCCUAGUGGGUCAGAUUACUAGGCCUAAUGGGUCAGCCCAUGUAAAUUUAAAAAAAAAAAAUCUUUUUUUAGAAAGUAAUUUGCAAUUAUUUUAAAAUACAAAAUUCGUUAUAAAAUAUAAAUAAAAAAUAUUUCAAACAUUUUUUUAUUUGUUUACAAAAAUAAAAAAUUUAAAUAAACUUCCAACCAUUUUGAAAGUUUAUAUUUUUCCAAUUUUGAAAUAUAAAUUGUCAAAUUUAUUGAUUUUGCAUGGUCCAUCUUUUCUAACAUCUCCUAUGCUAAAAGUGACUGCAAAAGUAUACCCUUAGCCCAACAUGACCCUAUAUUCUCGGGUCAUGCCAGUAUGGCCUGCUUGCUACGGUAACAGACCGUGCUAGGUUGGGCUACUUAGAUGGUAGGUUGGCCCGACCUGUUUGACACCUCUACUAUGAGAGCAAGGGGCUGGAGUGUCUGAAAGCAGUUUUUGAACUUAAUUUUAUUAGCCUUCAGGAUUUCCUAAACUGCCUCUACUGUGAAGUCCUUGGAACGUUUUUGGGUGAAAGUUGCAAAUAGUUGGACAGUAGUGGAGGUGUUGAACAGGGCUCAGCACAUCCUGGGUCAUGGCCUGUGCUGGCACGAGCCAAGCACAGCCCAAAAUGUAUGGGUCAUCUUGCAGCCUUGUAAAGAUUCAAUUUCAAACAAGGUCACUUGACUCCAAAGAGUGAUGUGUACAGUUACGGAGUUGUGAUACUGGAGUUGCUAUCUGGACGGCAAGCAUUAGACGAGGAUAAAGCUGGAUGUGUGGAAGAAAUAUUGGCCGACUGGGUAAAGCCUUUCCUAAGUGACAACAGA